GAUGAACGCUGGCGGCGUGCCUAAUGCAUGCAAGUCGAGCGAACGGACGAGAAGCUUGCUUCUCUGAUGUUAGCGGCGGACGGGUGAGUAACACGUGGAUAACCUACCUAUAAGACUGGGAUAACUUCGGGAAACCGGAGCUAAUACCGGAUAAUAUUUUGAACCGCAUGGUUCAAAAGUGAAAGACGGUCUUGCUGUCACUUAUAGAUGGAUCCGCGCUGCAUUAGCUAGUUGGUAAGGUAACGGCUUACCAAGGCAACGAUGCAUAGCCGACCUGAGAGGGUGAUCGGCCACACUGGAACUGAGACACGGUCCAGACUCCUACGGGAGGCAGCAAUAGGGAAUCUUCCGCAAUGGGCGAAAGCCUGACGGAGCAACGCCGCGUGAGUGAUGAAGGUCUUCGGAUCGUAAAACUCUGUUAUUAGGGAAGAACAUAUGUGUAAGUAACUGUGCACAUCUUGACGGUACCUAAUCAGAAAGCCACGGCUAACUACGUG
rnacentral:rRNA from 1 species